GAUAAUCCUGGCUGUGGUGGAAGGCGUCCUCCUCCUCCUCCUCAUCUUCCUCCGCAAACGCAUCCUCAUCGCCAUUGCGCUCAUCCAGGAGUCUAGCCGGGCCAUCGGCUACAUGAUGUCCACCCUGUUCUACCCACUGGUCACUUUCCUCCUGCUCCUCAUCUGUGUGGCCUAUUGGGCCAUGACGGCUCUCUAUCUGGCCACGUCCGGGACUCCCUUGUAUCGUGUCACCAGUGGCAAUUCCAGCGACCCCAGGUGCUCCGGGAUCUCGGGCAACGACACC